rnacentral:rRNA from 1 species
AGUUCGAUUAUGGCUCGUGAUUGAACGCUGGCGGAUGUUUUUACACAUGCAAGUCGAACGGCAGCACGGACUUCGGUCUGGUGGCGAGGGCGAACGGGUGAGUAAUGUAUCGGAACGUGCCUAGUAGCGGGGGAUAACUACGCUGAAAGGUAGCUAAUACUGCAUACGCCCUUCGGGGGAAAGCGGGGACCUUCGGGCCUCGCACUAUUAGAGCGGCUGAUAUCGGAUUAGCUAGUUGGUGGGUAACGGGCUCACCAAGGCGACGAUCCGUAGCUGGUUUGAGAGGACGACCAGCCACACUGGGACCGAGACACGGCCCAGACUCCUACGGGAGGCAGCAGGGGAAUUUUGGACAAUGGGGAAACCCUGAUCCAGCCAUCCCGCGUGUGCGAUGAAGGCCUUCGGGUUGUAAAGCACUUUGGCAGGAAGAAACGUGACGGGAUAAUACCCCGUGCAACUGACGGUACCUGCAGAAUAAGCACCGGCUAACUACGUGCCAGCAGCCGCGGUAAUACGGGUGCAAGCGUUAAUCGGAAUUACUGGCGAAGCGUGCGCAGGCGGUUCGGAAAGAAAGAUGGAAUCCCAGAGCUUAACUUUGGAACUGCAUUUUUAACUACCGAGCUAGAGUGUGUCAGAGGGAGGUGUGGAAUUCCGCGUAGCAGUGAAAUGCGUAGAUAUGCGGAGGAACACCGAUGGCGAAGGCAGCCUCCUGGGAUAACACUGACGCUCAUGCACGAAAGCGUGGGGAGCAAACAGGAUUAGAUACCCUGGUAGUCCACGCCCUAAACGAUGUCAACUAGCUGUUGGGGCCUUCGGCCUUGGUAGCGCAGCUAACGCAGGAAGUUGACCGCCUGGGGAGUACGGUCGCAAGAUUAAAACCUCAAAGGAAUUGACGGGACCCGCACAAGCGGUGGAUGAUGUGGAUUAAUUCGAUGCAACGCGAAAAACCUUACCUACCCUUUGACAUGUCUGGAAUCCCGAAGAGAUUUGGGAGUGUCGGCAAGAGAACCGGAACACAGGUGCUGCAUGGCUGUCGUCAGCUCGUGUCGUGAGAUGCUGGGUUAAGUCCCGCAACGAGCGCAAACUCCUUGUCAUUAGUUGCUACGAAAGGGCACUCUAAUGAGACUGCCGGUGACAAACCGGAGGAAGGUGGGGAUGACGUGUCAAGUCCUCAUGGCCCUUAUGGGUAGGGCUUCACACGUCAUACAAUGGUCGGGACAGAGGGUCGCUAACCCGCGAGGGGGAGCUAAUCCCAGAAACCCGAUCGUAGUCCGGAUCGCAGUCUGCAACUCGACUGCGUGAAGUCGGAAUCGCUAGUAAUCGCGGAUCAGCAUGUCGCGGUGAAUACGUUCCCGGGUCUUACACACCGCCCGUCACACCAUGGGAGGGGUUUACCAGAAGUAGUUAGCUCAACCGCAAGGAGGGCGAUUACCACGGUAGGAUUCAUGACUGGGGUGAAGUCGUAACAAGGUAG